UACGUAGGAGGCGAGCGUUGUCCGGAAUUACUGGGCGUAAAGAGCUCGUAGGCGGCUUGUCGCGUCGGAUGUGAAAGCCCGGGGCUUAACCCCGGGUCUGCAUUCGAUACGGGCAGGCUAGAGUGUGGUAGGGGAGAUCGGAAUUCCUGGUGUAGCGGUGAAAUGCGCAGAUAUCAGGAGGAACACCGGUGGCGAAGGCGGAUCUCUGGGCCAUUACUGACGCUGAGGAGCGAAAGCGUGGGGAGCGAACAGG
rnacentral:rRNA from 1 species